rnacentral:lncRNA from 1 species
AAAUUUAUAAAAAAAAGCCGAUAAAAGGAAUAAAGGAAACGCGCAAUCCCUAACCACUCACAUUCCUUGUCUUCUUCUUCAAUUUUCACGAAUUACAAUCACAACGACUCACUCAGUCACACACACCAGCCCUAACCCUACCUAAGCUAUCAAACGCCAAUGCCGCUGCCGCUGUCAAAUCGAUUCAAGUGCUCCGGCGCUGAGUCUAGCCGUCCUUGAGCCGAUUUGCUUCCUUUUUCUGCCGCCGCUGUCAAUCUCUGCCAUUUUUGAGCCGAUUCACUUCCGCAAAACAGCUGCUGUCAUCUCUGCCGACAUUGCCUCUGUGUUCGUUCACCGUCAGAUGCAGUGUUAUUGUGGUGACACUGCCUCCGCUGUCAAGUCAGUUCAAAUUUUCUGGGUGCUAUCUCGAAAAUAUUGGUGAGAUUGUUGCCAAUGAUAUUCUAAAAUUUUGAAUUCAGGGUUAUUGUUUCACCACUGUGAGUUGCUUUCUCCAAUUUUGCAAUUCUUUCCUCUUAAUUUGCUUUGAAAUAUUUGCUCGUUGGAUUUAUUUCCUCUUCAUUUAUAAUCGAUUUGGUGAUUUUGUGUUGUGUAGCUUGUACCUUAGUCUCUCCUUUUCCUUUCAUAAUAUUAUAAAAUAUGUCGUGCACUUUGGCCUUUCGUUUCUUGAUUUUCUUGGUUAAUGAAUUUGGAAAAAGAGUGAAUUAUGGGUAAGGGGAUAGAAAAUCACAUUGACAGAAAAGAGGACUGAAACGCCUUGAUUUUUACUAAGUGGAGUUUACUUAUUUGUUAAAAAAAUAAAUUUUAAAUUAUUAAUGAUUUAAUUGUCUUAUGCUUAUUAUAUUGUUCUUAAAAUUUUUGUUACAAGUCCAGCCCAUGAACCUCUUUAUGUUUUAGCAUUUCUUUAUUUAUUUACGAAACGAAAACCAGCGUUCGAAUUCAAAAGGAACAAAACAGAAAAAGGAAGAAAGGAAACAAGAGGAUAACAGGACGUGAGAGAGGAGAAGAGGGAGAAAGAAGAGAAAGACAAGAGAGGCUAGGUGAAGGAUUUGGAUUUAAAGAGAGAGAAUUCAAUUUCAGAGGAAAAUAUUAAAUAUCUGGCUUUUUAAAUUUGUAAGCCUUAUUCAAUUUCAGAGCAAAAUAUUAAAUAUCUGGCUUUUUAAAUUUGUAAGCCUUCUUUCUCAGUUCACUUUAUUCUUUUAUUUUUCUUCAAAAUUCUUGUUUAAAUUGGCAUGCAUGUUGAUGUUGUUAAGUCAUUUCUAAAUUAACUUGCAUGCAUGAUUAAAAUUCUGUUUAUUUAGGUAUUAUGUCAUUGAAAUUAGUCUCUUUUGCCAUGCUUGUUUCAAGUUCCGAUUCUUAUUUGAAAAAAAAAAUUUCUAUGUUUGUUCCAUAAUCUGUUUUGGGUAUUAAAGUUGAUACUACCUAGCAAAUUCUAAACUGUAAUGGCUGAUUUCUUCUCUUAUUUUUGUUUAAUCUAUUCAAAUUCAUGUAUAAAUUUACAGGUGUCAGAUAUUUGCCUAAUUAUCAUGUAUGUGUUAAAUUCAUUUUGGGUGAAUUUUUAUACUAUUUAAUCAACUUCAAAGUUACAUGGGUUUGGCCAAUUAUCACAUAAUCUCUUCUUUGACUAUUUGAUUGGAUUUUUGUUCAUGUGUGGCUUAAUUAAUUUCGAAAUCUUCUUACUUGUGAGUGUGGUCAAACCCCAAACAAAUGAAGAAGUCUUCUGGUUUUAUGUCUUAAAUAGAGUGCCUGUAAAUAUAAAAUCGAGAUUGAGCUAAUGAGUGAAAAUGAUGAUACUUGGAUUUUUUGAGGCUCUGUUUUUUUUUUCUUUACUUUAAAAGCUAAUUUGUUUAGCUUUACCUUUGAUUUGAAUUUUUUGCUUCUGUUCUUUGCAGCCAACCUAUGAAAAUGGUGAUAAUCGGGCUCCAAUAAAUAUUGAUUUAAUAGGAACCACAUUGGUAAGCCUAGUUGCAAGACAAGAACUACUUUGCAAAGCAUGCUAUGUGUAUAAUUCUGAGCAUUAAGGAUUCAGUUUCUGAAGGGCAAGCUUGCUGGCUGGGUAUAAAUGUUCCAAGUGCCAAUCCCACCUUAUGUAAGCACAAAAUAUAGUCUCCAUUUCCUUUUUGGAUUAUAUUUGUUUGUAUAGUUAUAUGAUACUGGAUUUUAAUUUAAGAAUUUGUGCAGUACAUUUUUUUACUGUUAGGAGUUAGUUUGAUCAAGGUUAUUUAAGUACUAAACUGUUAUAAUUGAGCUUGUAUGCAUUUAAGUUCUUUAUAUGUAAAUGACAAUUAUAUCAAUGUGUAAUGUAAAUUGAAAUUUGCCAAUGUGGCUUCAAUUGUACAGUUUAGAAUGUGAAAAUAACUAUCUAAAUU